rnacentral:sRNA from 1 species
AGGAUCAUUAAAGCGUUGCCGACGUCGGCCCCGGCCGUUCGGCUUGAAAUAUAGCCUGGACGGUGCUGGAGGUCGCCGGCAGUUGCCCAUUCUUGCCUACUGACCCAGUUGCCUCGGCGAGCCGUGCCACUCGUGGCAGACCGGAAGCCGUUUGAACCCCUAGGGCUCAGGCGGCCCUGGCCAGUGCCCGCCGACGGACAGACUUAAAAUCUUUAUAUAUUGGCCGUCUGAGCGUAUAAAGCAAAUCAAUUAAAACUUUCAACAACGGAUCUCUUGGUUCCGGCAUCGAUGAAGAACGCAGCGAAAUGCGAUAAGUAAUGUGAAUUGCAGAAUUCCGUGAAUCAUCGAAUCUUUGAACGCACAUUGCGCCCCCUGGUAUUCCGGGGGGCAUGCCUGUUCGAGCGUCAUUGCAACCCUCAAGCUCGGCUUGUGUGAUGGGCGACCGUCCUUCCCCUAGGGGCGGGACGCGUCCGAAAAGCAGUGGCUAGGCCGCGAUUCCGGCGCCUGAGCGAAUGGGACUUCCACCGCUUCUAGGACCGGCCGGCACUUGGCCUUUAAACACGGUCUUAACUGACCAUCUAGGUUGACCUCGGAUCAGGUAGGGAUACCCGCUGAACUUAAGCAUAUCAAUAAGCGGAGGAAAAGAAACCAACAGGGAUUGCCCCAGUAACGGCGAGUGAAGCGGCAAAAGCUCAAAUUUGAAAUCUGGCUCCUUAGGGGUCCGAGUUGUAAUUUGUAGAGGAUGCUUCGGGUGCGGCCACGGCCUAAGUUCCUUGGAACAGGACGUCAUAGAGGGUGAGAAUCCCGUCUUGGGUCGUUGGUCCACGCCCGUGUGAAGCUCCUUCGACGAGUCGAGUUGUUUGGGAAUGCAGCUCUAAGCGG